GAUGAAGAACGCAGUGAAAUGCGAUACGUAAUGUGAAUUGCAGAAUUCAGUGAAUCAUCGAGUCUUUGAACGCACAUUGCGCCCCUUGGUAUUCCGAGUGGCAUGCCUGUUCGAGCGUCAUUUCAACCCUCAAGCACAGCUUGGUCUUGGGCUUCGCCGCUAACCCGGCGGGUCUUAAAAUCAGUGGCGGUGCCGUCGGGCCCUGAGCGCAGUAAUCUCUCUCGCUAUAGGGUCCCGGCGGAUGCUGGCCAGUAACCCCCAAUUUUCUAUGGUUGACCUCGGAUCAGGUAGGGAUACCCGCUGAACUUAAGCAUAUCAAUAAGCGGAGGA
rnacentral:misc_RNA from 1 species